AACGCACCCUUUUAAAGUAGCGGGUUGUUUAAACCUACAUCUUGUAAGCUAAUGCUCAUUUUUUUUUUUUAUCGCUGCUAGACACAAUUGUUGCAAAACAUUGCUGACGCCUGUGAAGCAUUUAUUGUUUAUGCUAACUUUUUACCUGCCAAAUUAAGUUACUUUCUGUCGUCGUCGUCAAGAAAAAGUAAUUUUUGGUGCACCUGGAACUCUUUCCGUCGACUGUUCGUCAUAACCAGAGACUGUAUGAGGUCAUAACCACCUGUGACGUGGAUUCAAGCUUCAAGUGAAACGUUUACAAGACUCUAACAAGCCAGGUCUGACAGCUAACUUCAGCAAGAAUUUCCCAGGUAUCGAUCUGUGACCUGAGGAGAAGCUCUCAAUUUCUCGCAUACCAUUUCACAACAACCAAAAACCAAGAGAGAAAAAACAGGGCCUAUUUCGCUGGAGGAAUUGCAGCACCUGCUUCCUUGACUAAUGUGCAAAACCACUUCUACACCACAACUACCUUUUUGUUCAUUCUGCUCAUCCUCCCACACACCACUUGAAAGCUGACCAUAAAGCAGAAGACAAUAAAGACAAAUUGGAAAAAGACACCGCUCCGUCUGUUCCAACGGUGACUACCUUUACCGGCACGGCCACUGUUCGCCCGUUGAGGACGGCUGUGUUGAGGAUCUCAGUGUCCUGCAAAGAAAAGGCAGAAAGACAGAAAUCAGUGU